AUGACUCGUGACUGUCGGUGUGACGGUAAUACAGUCACCGUAACAGCCCUAUCCCAGAGUGUAUAUGUGUGUGUGUGUGUGUGUAUAGCCUAUAUAACGUGGUGCGUUAUGUGCCUGCACUCACGGAGGCCAGGCCCUCUGAUGGGGUGCUCCCCUGUCGUUGGUCCUCCCCUGUCGUUGGUCCUCCCCUGUCGUUGGUCCUCCCCUGUCGUUGGUCCUCCCCUGUCGUUGGUCCUCCUUAACUCGUUGAACCAUCGGUUUCGGGGUGCUGUCAUGUCACGUUGUCCCCCUCGCUGCCUGAAAGCCCCCGACAGACCACACUGCUGGAGCUACCAGCAUGCACCGGGGCCUGUCCCAGCAUGCCUCACAGGGACUUCAGAGGGACACACACGCAGUCACACACACACAGGCAGACAUACCGUACUCACACACACAGACAUGCACAGAUGGCACACACACACACUCCCACACACAGCCUCCAGGGAGCAGUCUCUGACGAAGACUGCUGUGAUUAAAAGAGGGGCUUUUCAAAUCAAAUCCAUGUUACUAGGAUGUCUGGAGAGACAUGGGGAGAACACUCACCAUGCACUAUUCAUUGGAAAGACAGACAGCCAGUGGUGUGGUUCUCUCUGUGAAGGAUAUCACUUAAAGAUGAACUAUGCAGAAAUAGCUCCACCAUUUCCUGGUUGCUAAAAUUCUAAUAGUUUGCCUAAUUUCAGUUUAUGUUACAAAACAAGCAAGUAUAGUGUAGCGAAUCAUUGUACCAUCUAAAACCCUGAAAUGUAUUUUCCAUAACCAAAAAUAUUGUAUUUUCAGCUGUUUGAAGCUGGUGUACAAAACUGAAAGUAAAAGACUGAAAAACUAAACUUAAGAAUGGGAAGCAUAGAAAUAACACACACAGAACAGAUUUACAGCUUCAUAGUCUUGCUUUCAAUGAGAAUGACAGAUCUAUAACUCCAUUUCUAUGGGAAUUUGGUCAUGACGCCCAAAAAGUAACAUUUUGCAGCUUUAAGACUAACACCCAGGACUGCAGAGUCAGAUAAGCCUGGAAAGAACUACGAAGUGAGGAGUAGUUGUUAUUCACAAGUACAGAGGCAGACUGUUCAGAAGGUAAAUUGGACUCGGAUACCAGUUGUUAAUCCAUUGCUGACUAUUCAUAAGAUGGAAUACAUUUGGUGUCUCUUUUUGUGUUUUGGGGGAAAUGAAAGAAAGAAAGAAAGAAAGAAAGAAAGAAAGAAAGAAAGAAAGAAAGAAAGAAAGAAAGAAAGAAAGAAAGAAAGAAAGAAAGAAAGAUGUUUUGCAAGUCAGAGAAGGCAUCGGGUAUAUAAUACAACUGAUACUUAGUGUUGCUAACGAGCGUUAACUUUGUUGUACAAAAUGAAGAACAUUAUUCCAGAUUGACUAUAAUGGGGUUCUAAGGCAUCGCCUGCAUUGAGUCAGACACUAUGGUAAUGGCUGUACUCUCUGUACCAAAAACAGGAUGCACAUGAUCUGUUCAUCCUGAACCAGAAAGAAUAGUCACUCACACACCUCCUGCCAAAAACCUGCCAUCUAGCACAUUCACAGCCUUGCACCAAAACACCACCUGAUCUUACACUCUCACAUACACACAUGUAGAGACACACACACACACAAUCGCCAAAACACCACCUGAUCUUGCACUCUCACAUACACACAUGUAGAGACACACACACACAAUCUCCAAAACACCACCUGAGCUUGCACUCUCACAUACACACAUGUAGAGACACACACACACACACAAUCUCCAAAAUACCACCUGUGUAUAGUGAUCCACCAAACACACUCUUACUUAGUCUUAUUCUACACACUCAACACACUCUCCAACACACUGACCAACAACACCAUAUUCCCACCACCUCCCAGUCUGCCAGGUAGUGACAGGUUGUUCACCAACACCAUAUUCCCACCACCUCCCAGUCUACCAGGUAGUGACAGGUUGUUCACCAACACCAUAUUCCCACCACCUCCCAGUCUACCAGGUAGUGACAGGUUGUUCACCAACACCAUAUUCCCACCACCUCCCAGUCUACCAGGUAGUGACAGGUUGUUCACCAACACCAUAUUCCCACCACCUCCCAGUCUACCAGGUAGUGACAGGUUGUUCACCAACACCAUAUUCCCACCACCUCCCAGUCUACCAGGUAGUGACAGGUUGUUCACCAACACCAUAUUCCCACCACCUCCCAGUCUACCAGGUAGUGACAGGUUGUUCACCAACACCAUAUUCCCACCACCUCCCAGUCUACCAGGUAGUGACAGGUUGUUCACCAACACCAUAUUCCCACCACCUCCCAGUCUACCAGGUAGUGACAGGUUGUUCACCAACACCAUAUUCCCACCACCUCCCAGUCUACCAGGUAGUGACAGGUUGUUCACCAACACCAUAUUCCCACCACCUCCCAGUCUGCCAGGUAGUGACAGGUUGUUCACCAACACCAUAUUCCCACCACCUCCCAGUCUACCAGGUAGUGACAGGUUGUUCACCAACACCAUAUUCCCACCACCUCCCAGUCUGCCAGGUAGUGACAGGUUGUUCACCAACACCAUAUUCCCACCACCUCCCAGUCUGCCAGGUAGUGACAGGUUGUUCACCAACACCAUAUUCCCACCACCUCCCAGUCUACCAGGUAGUGACAGGUUGUUCACCAACCUGGUUUAGAUGGGACCAGGGGGAUCUGUCUGGCAUAUGGAGCUCUGUGGGGUCAUACAGUACUAUUAUAUCUCUCUCUCUCACGCUCUCUCAUUCUUCCUCCUCUCCCCCCUACUAUCAUUCUGAAAUACACAAAGCCUACCCCCCCCAUCCUAUUUAUUUGUUUAGUUGAGAUAUUUAUUUCCGUAUUCUUUUUGUUUGCUGGUUUAUUGGCUAGUGAUUGUCCUACUCCAGUGGAAGUAGAGACCGUCUGGUGGCUGUGAAAAGAGUCCUGAAAGGGCUUUUCUGGAACAGCAUAUGGCCCAUAUUAGGAGGAUGCUAGGCACACAUCCACACACUGGUUUCCUGCUCUCACAUACUGUACUGAAGACAACAGCAGGAGACGGUCUGUCAGGAAGGCACCCCUUAGUUAAAGGACAAAGAGCUUGGCUAGCUGUCUGGCAGCUCCCUUUCAUUCAUAUAGUAAUGCCUCCAUAUAGUCCCCUGCUAUUGGCCAGGACCAAAGUAAUGCCUCCUUGUAGUCCCCUGCUAUUGGCCAGGACCAAAUAUGAGGUCAUUAUUGAGAUGGGAUUACUCUAAGAGGUCUCCAAAGCAGACGGUAGGUGGGUUGGUGGUGGAUGAAAGGAAAUGACAAGAUGAUGGAAUUCCAUCCAGGGACUUUAACCUACAUUAGUAGUCAUGAAGGACACGGGGCACCAAAAUACUUUUAACAUGGCGUAUCCGGACCCCUCCCAGCCACUCAAAUGUCACCGGAGACCUCUGAAGUAAGACGUUAAUGCUAUUGACUAGGACCUUCAUAUGGUCACAUCUGUUUGGUAAGGAGAUAUGUGAACAUCUGCUGUCCCCUUUUCUAAAUUCUCACUCUUAGUUAGCUUUGAUUGAUAUCUUAUGCAGCGGUUGCCGUUUUUGACACCCCACUCACACACAGUCUCUCACACACACACACCACACUCUCUCUCUCUCCAGCUCUCCAUCACACACACACAAAGCGGUACGAUCCAGCUGUACUGAAGUAUGUUUUUCUUCCAGACCCUCGUGUGUUCUGGGUUGCUAUCACAUGAACCACUGUAUACCAGCUAGCUAAGCAAUUAAACCCGAUGCAGAAUCCACGCUGUGCAGUUUUCAACAUCUGCCAUCCUCCUAUAUCUGUGUUCGUUUCCUUGGCCGAGAGUCUCAUCUGUUCUCCGGAUCAGUUAUGAUGCAUGAUGGAACCCUCUGUGGUUAAUAUGGUACUGUAUAGAGUAGACUCUCUCACCCCCCCUUCUCCUUCCUCAGCCUUUGACUUUCUCUCUUCCACUCUUCACCCUCUCACCCCUUCUCUCCUCCUUAUCCGUCCCCUCUUCUCAUCCCUCAUUUUUCCUGUCGUCCUCCACCCCUUCCCCUCAUUCCUAUUCUCCCCCGUCAACGCCUUUGACCCCUUUCUCUUCCCCACUCCCCUCCCCUUUCCCAAUUCUCCCCUAUCACCCAUUUUCUCCUCUUCAACCCACCCUCCAUCUUAUGAAUCCUCCCUCCCCCGCUUCUCCUCACCCACUUUUUCCCUGACUGACCCGAGACACACACUCCAAAAGCCUCCCCAUCGAUCACGCUGGCAGGAAGGAGCCAGAGCUGAGGCUGGGUUAGCUUGGGUUGGAGGAGAGAGAGGAGGGCUGGCCAGAACCAUAUAGAGCUAAACCGCUCAGUCACAGUGCAGAGCACCGUCCUCGUUUGGAGCUUUUCAGCCUCUAUACACACACACGGACAGACAAUACCCACAGUCUCUCUUGACCGUACCCGGACAUUUCCUUUCUAUCUCUCUCUCUCUCAUUUUCGCUCUUUUCCACCCCCUCCCUCCAUCUCUCUCCCUCUCUCAACCUCCCUC
rnacentral:lncRNA from 8 species